AAGUCGUAACAAGGUCUCCGUUGGUGAACCAGCGGAGGGAUCAUUACAGAGUUGCAAAACUCCCAACCAUUGUGAACCUACCUCACCGUUGCUUCGGCGGGUGGCCCUCUCCGGGGCCGCGCUGGCCCCCUUGGGGAUCAGCAACCCGUCAGAGGACCGAAACUCUUAGUAACCACUGGCCUCUCUGAGUAACUUAUACAAUAAGUCAAAACUUUCAACAACGGAUCUCUUGGUUCUG
rnacentral:misc_RNA from 1 species